rnacentral:misc_RNA from 1 species
GUAGGUGAACCUGCGGAAGGAUCAUUAACACAAAAAGUGUGCUGUGUUUUAUUAUACACACAUUUUUUCACCCCCCUCUUGCAAACUUGUUUUUUAUAUACUGUUCUUCCCAUGAUGUGAACGAAAAACACAGACAGUAGUUUCUUUUCUUGCUUUCGUAGCGAGAAAAAAACAAUGGUUUGUGUUGAGUAUGUUUAUGUUAUGUGGUUUUACUUAUUUUACCCCUUGAACUUUUUAUUAGACUGAUGACAAACCUUAAAACAGUUUGUUGAUAUAUCUAAACGCUGAACAACUCUUAGCAACGGAUAUCUUGGCUCUC